UGAGCUUUCAGAAAAGCCCUCAACCUCUUCUCUAUCACCACCAGGGGCGUGGCAAUAGUGUUCAUAAUAAACAGUAAAUUAAAAAAAAAUCACAUUUUUGUUUCAACCUUGUAAACGCUCUAGCGCCUAAACUGGCUAACGUAGGUGAACCCAAUACAAUGCACCAGUUAGAUAGUUUAAUGAGCUUUCAGAAAAGCCCUCAACCUCUUCUCUAUCACCACCAGGGGCGUGGCAAUAGUGUUCAUAAUAAACAGUAGUUUACAAAAAAGUCACAUUUUUGUUUCAACUUUUUAAACGCUCUAGCGGCUAAAUUGGCCGACAUAGGUGGACCCAAUACAAUGCACCAGUUAGAUAGUUUAAUGAGCUUUCAGAAAAGCCCUCAACCUCUUCUCUAUCACCACCAGGGGCGUGGCAAUAGUGUUCAUAAUAAACAGUAGUUUAAAAAAAAAUCAC